rnacentral:rRNA from 1 species
GAUGAACGCUGGCGGCGUGCUUAACACAUGCAAGUCGAACGAAGCACUUUUACAGAUUUCUUCGGAUUGAAAUUUUAGUGACUGAGUGGCGGACGGGUGAGUAACGCGUGGGUAACCUGCCUCACACAGGGGGAUAACAGUUGGAAACGGCUGCUAAUACCGCAUAAGCGCACAGUACCGCAUGGUACGGUGUGAAAAACUCCGGUGGUGUGAGAUGGACCCGCGUCUGAUUAGCUAGUUGGCAGGGCAACGGCCUACCAAGGCGACGAUCAGUAGCCGACCGGAGAGGGUGACCGGCCACAUUGGGACUGAGACACGGCCCAAACUCCUACGGGAGGCAGCAGUGGGGAAUAUUGCACAAUGGGGGAAACCCUGAUGCAGCGACGCCGCGUGAGCGAAGAAGUAUUUCGGUAUGUAAAGCUCUAUCAGCAGGGAAGAAGAAAUGACGGUACCUGACUAAGAAGCACCGGCUAAAUACGUGCCAGCCGCCGCAGUAA